UACGGGGGGGGCAAGCGUUGUUCGGAAUUACUGGGCGUAAAGGGUUCGUAGGUGGCCCGCUAAGUCAGACGUGAAAUCCCUCAGCUUAACUGGGGAACUGCGUCUGAGACUGGCAGGCUCGAGUGCAGGAGAGGAACGCGGAAUUCCAGGUGUAGCGGUGAAAUGCGUAGAUAUCGGGAGGAACACCAGUGGCGAAGGCGGCGAUCUGGGAAGAUACUGACGCUGAGGUGCGAAAGCGUGGGGAGCAAACAGG
rnacentral:rRNA from 1 species